rnacentral:lncRNA from 1 species
CGUCAGUCCAGUCUCUUCCGCAGCAGACGGUUAACAAGGCCCCCCCCUCAAAGCAAAGGGCUCCUUAACUCCAAAUUCAGUUUGCACAGAGAAGAGGAAAGAAUCAGACAUAAACUAUAAAUUGAAUCAAUUAUCUUUAUUUUUUAAUUUAAAUAUAAAAAGUGAAGGAUAAAAGCAGUAANNNNNNNNNNNNNNNNNNNNNNNNNNNNNNNNNNNNNNNNNNNNNNNNNNNNNNNNNNNNNNNNNNNAGCAAUUACUGUGAGCAGCCCUUGACUAUGUGGGUACCACCCAAGAGCUCCAGCCAACUCCACCAUUAGACUCAGCAGCAGAUGCCAUCCGGGACCCAGAGCUGCUCUUCUGAUCACACCAGGAGGAACCUUCUUUGUCACCGGGGCACAGAGAGAACCCAAGUCUGUGCCUUCAGACACAUCUGCCAGGCUCCAAGCGGAAGGCUCAGGCUGAGUUGUGUUCUUCAUGUUCUCCUUCUUUGCCUCCUGCUGUUUGAUUGUUUUCUCCAUUUCAAAAUCAAAGCCAGGAGGCAUGAUGGGUGGCUUCUCUGGCAUUUUUUUAGGGAAAAUGCACUCACUGUAAAGAUUUCUGGAAUCCAAUUUCCGUGCUUUAAAUUUGCAGAGCCCUGCUUCUACAGGACUACAUUUUUUUGGAUUUUCCAACACCUCCACCACUUCUUGCUGCAUUUUUAUUCUCUUCUCUGAUUCUUGCUUUUCAGUGCUUUUUAGGAUCUUCUGUACAUGAGAAAAACAACCUGAAAAAAAUAGAUAUGCAAUUAUGCAUGACUGAAUUAAGUUCCUGUACGCCUUAUACAAACACAACAUUGGAAAUCAACUCUAUUCCAAUAUAAGAGCAAAAUGAAAUUGCACAGAAACAAAAAGAAAAAAGAAAGGGACGUGAAAAAAUGCUGCCGCUUUGUGGCCAUUUUCCAUAAUAAUGUCGAAAGCUGAGCUGAUGGGCACUUAAUAUUCAGAAGGUCUGCGGGGUCCGGAGUAAACAACACCUACCUUCAACGAAUGUUCUAGGAGUGUUCAUCAAAACACAAGAGUCAAUUGCAAGAUGUUUCACUCAUACCCUUUAAAAAAUAUCACAGGAAAUGAUGUCAACCUUGUGAAGUAUUAGAGAAAUCCAAAUCAAAACUACAAUGAGGUAUCACCUCACGCUGGUCAGAAUGGCCAUUAUUAAACACUUUAUAAAGAAUCCAAGGCUGGAGAGGGUGUGGAGAAAUGAGAAUUGUCCUCCACGGAUGCUGGAAUGUCAAAUGGAGACAGUGUGCAUGUAUGCUAAGUCACUUCAGUCAUGUCUGAUUCUUUUUGACUCCAUGGACUGUAACCUGCCAGGCUCCUCUGUCCAUGGGAUUCUCCA